rnacentral:rRNA from 2 species
GGGUUGUGAGGUUAAGCGACUAAGCGUACACGGUGGAUGCCCUGGCAGUCAGAGGCGAUGAAGGACGUGCUAAUCUGCGAUAAGCGUCGGUAAGGUGAUAUGAACCGUUAUAACCGGCGAUUUCCGAAUGGGGAAACCCAGUGUGAUUCGUCACACUAUCAUUAACUGAAUCCAUAGGUUAAUGAGGCGAACCGGGGGAACUGAAACAUCUAAGUACCCCGAGGAAAAGAAAUCAACCGAGAUUCCCCCAGUAGCGGCGAGCGAACGGGGAGGAGCCCAGAGCCUGAAUCAGUGUGUGUGUUAGUGGAAGCGUCUGGAAAGGCGCGCGAUACAGGGUGACAGCCCCGUACACAAAAAUGCACAUACUGUGAGCUCGAUGAGUAGGGCGGGACACGUGGUAUCCUGUCUGAAUAUGGGGGGACCAUCCUCCAAGGCUAAAUACUCCUGACUGACCGAUAGUGAACCAGUACCGUGAGGGAAAGGCGAAAAGAACCCCGGCGAGGGGAGUGAAAAAGAACCUGAAACCGUGUACGUACAAGCAGUGGGAGCCUCUUUUAUGGGGUGACUGCGUACCUUUUGUAUAAUGGGUCAGCGACUUAUAUUCUGUAGCAAGGUUAACCGAAUAGGGGAGCCGAAGGGAAACCGAGUCUUAACCGGGCGUUAAGUUGCAGGGUAUAGACCCGAAACCCGGUGAUCUAGCCAUGGGCAGGUUGAAGGUUGGGUAACACUAACUGGAGGACCGAACCGACUAAUGUUGAAAAAUUAGCGGAUGACUUGUGGCUGGGGGUGAAAGGCCAAUCAAACCGGGAGAUAGCUGGUUCUCCCCGAAAGCUAUUUAGGUAGCGCCUCGUGAAUUCAUCUCCGGGGGUAGAGCACUGUUUCGGCAAGGGGGUCAUCCCGACUUACCAACCCGAUGCAAACUGCGAAUACCGGAGAAUGUUAUCACGGGAGACAUACGGCGGGUGCUAACGUCCGUCGUGAAGAGGGAAACAACCCAGACCGCCAGCUAAGGUCCCAAAGUCAUGGUUAAGUGGGAAACGAUGUGGGAAGGCCCAGACAGCCAGGAUGUUGGCUUAGAAGCAGCCAUCAUUUAAAGAAAGCGUAAUAGCUCACUGGUCGAGUCGGCCUGCGCGGAAGAUGUAACGGGGCUAAACCAUGCACCGAAGCUGCGGCAGCGACACUGUGUGUUGUUGGGUAGGGGAGCGUUCUGUAAGCCUGUGAAGGUGUACUGUGAGGUAUGCUGGAGGUAUCAGAAGUGCGAAUGCUGACAUAAGUAACGAUAAAGCGGGUGAAAAGCCCGCUCGCCGGAAGACCAAGGGUUCCUGUCCAACGUUAAUCGGGGCAGGGUGAGUCGACCCCUAAGGCGAGGCCGAAAGGCGUAGUCGAUGGGAAACAGGUUAAUAUUCCUGUACUUGGUGUUACUGCGAAGGGGGGACGGAGAAGGCUAUGUUGGCCGGGCGACGGUUGUCCCGGUUUAAGCGUGUAGGCUGGUUUUCCAGGCAAAUCCGGAAAAUCAAGGCUGAGGCGUGAUGACGAGGCACUACGGUGCUGAAGCAACAAAUGCCCUGCUUCCAGGAAAAGCCUCUAAGCAUCAGGUAACAUCAAAUCGUACCCCAAACCGACACAGGUGGUCAGGUAGAGAAUACCAAGGCGCUUGAGAGAACUCGGGUGAAGGAACUAGGCAAAAUGGUGCCGUAACUUCGGGAGAAGGCACGCUGAUAUGUAGGUGAAGUCCCUCGCGGAUGGAGCUGAAAUCAGUCGAAGAUACCAGCUGGCUGCAACUGUUUAUUAAAAACACAGCACUGUGCAAACACGAAAGUGGACGUAUACGGUGUGACGCCUGCCCGGUGCCGGAAGGUUAAUUGAUGGGGUCAGCGCAAGCGAAGCUCUUGAUCGAAGCCCCGGUAAACGGCGGCCGUAACUAUAACGGUCCUAAGGUAGCGAAAUUCCUUGUCGGGUAAGUUCCGACCUGCACGAAUGGCGUAAUGAUGGCCAGGCUGUCUCCACCCGAGACUCAGUGAAAUUGAACUCGCUGUGAAGAUGCAGUGUACCCGCGGCAAGACGGAAAGACCCCGUGAACCUUUACUAUAGCUUGACACUGAACAUUGAGCCUUGAUGUGUAGGAUAGGUGGGAGGCUUUGAAGUGUGGACGCCAGUCUGCAUGGAGCCGACCUUGAAAUACCACCCUUUAAUGUUUGAUGUUCUAACGUGGACCCGUGAUCCGGGUUGCGGACAGUGUCUGGUGGGUAGUUUGACUGGGGCGGUCUCCUCCUAAAGAGUAACGGAGGAGCACGAAGGUUGGCUAAUCCUGGUCGGACAUCAGGAGGUUAGUGCAAUGGCAUAAGCCAGCUUGACUGCGAGCGUGACGGCGCGAGCAGGUGCGAAAGCAGGUCAUAGUGAUCCGGUGGUUCUGAAUGGAAGGGCCAUCGCUCAACGGAUAAAAGGUACUCCGGGGAUAACAGGCUGAUACCGCCCAAGAGUUCAUAUCGACGGCGGUGUUUGGCACCUCGAUGUCGGCUCAUCACAUCCUGGGGCUGAAGUAGGUCCCAAGGGUAUGGCUGUUCGCCAUUUAAAGUGGUACGCGAGCUGGGUUUAGAACGUCGUGAGACAGUUCGGUCCCUAUCUGCCGUGGGCGCUGGAGAACUGAGGGGGGCUGCUCCUAGUACGAGAGGACCGGAGUGGACGCAUCACUGGUGUUCGGGUUGUCAUGCCAAUGGCACUGCCCGGUAGCUAAAUGCGGAAGAGAUAAGUGCUGAAAGCAUCUAAGCACGAAACUUGCCCCGAGAUGAGUUCUCCCUGACCCUUUAAGGGUCCUGAAGGAACGUUGAAGACGACGACGUUGAUAGGCCGGGUGUGUAAGCGCAGCGAUGCGUUGAGCUAACCGGUACUAAUGAACCGUGAGGCUUAACCUUACAACGCCGAAGGUGUUU